rnacentral:rRNA from 1 species
GAUGAACGCUGGCGGCGUGCCUAAUACAUGCAAGUCGAGCGAACAGACGAGGCGCUUGCUCCUCUGUCGAUAGCCGCGGACGGGUGAGUAACACGUGGAAAAUCCACCUAUAUUACUGGGAUCACCUCGGGAAACCGGCGCUAAUCCCGGAUAAUAUCUUGCACCGCAUGGUUCAAUAGUGAAAGUCGGCGGUUGUGUCACUUCUAGAUGCAUCCGCGCUGCAUGAGCUAGUUGUUAAGGUAACGGCUUAUCAAGGCAACGAUGCGUAGCCGACCUGAGAGGGUGGUCGGCCACACGGGAGCUGGGACACCGACAAGACUACUGCGAGACGCAGCAGUAGCGUAUCUGCCGCAGUGGGCGAGAGCCUGACAGAACGGCGCCGCGUGAGAGGUGAAGGUCUUGGGAGCGUAAAACUGGGUUAUGAGGGGAGAACAAAUGUGUAAGUAACUAUGCACUGCUUGACGGUACCUGGUCAGAAAGCCACGGCUAACUACGUG